CUGGUUGAUCCUGCCAGUAGUCAUAUGCUUGUCUCAAAGACUAAGCCAUGCAUGUCUAAGUAUAAAUGCUAUACAAUGAAACUGCGAAUGGCUCAUUAAAACAGUUAUAGUUUAUUUGGUAAUCGAAUUUACAUGGAUAACCGUGGUAAUUCUAGAGCUAAUACAUGCUGAUAAGCCCGACUUCUCGGAAGGGCCGUAUUUAUUAGAUAACAGACCAAUAUUCCCUGGUGUCUAUUGUGGUGACUCAUAGUAACUGAUUGGAUCGCACGGGCGUGCCCGCGACAAACCAUUCAAGUUUCUGCCCCAUCAGCUUUCGAUGGUAGUGUAUUGGACUACCAUGGCUUUUACGGGUAACGGAGGAUUAGGGUUCGAUUCCGGAGAGGGAGCCCGAGAAACGGCUACCACAUCUAAGGAAGGCAGCAGGCGCGUAAAUUACCCAAUCCUGACUCAGGGAGGUAGUGACAAGAAAUAACGGGCCGGGUAUCAUAUCCGGGACUGAAAUGAGAUGAAUUUACACCCCUUAUUGAGGAUCAAUUGGAGGGCAAGUCUGG
rnacentral:rRNA from 1 species